rnacentral:ncRNA from 2 species
AUAGUCCGCUAGGGGCGCCGAAAAGGCUGAGAUAAGAAUUAGUAUUUGAUUCUUGGUCCCUUUGAACCUGAACUGGUUAAUACCAGCGGAGGAAAGUGGAGGUUGAAUAGU